UCCGCGACGCAGCCUUGAGAGACCAGAGUGUUGUGGAGGGUGCCAUGCUGGAGGAAACGUUUAGGCCUCCAGAUAAACUUUUAGGAUGUUGGCCGGCAGGUUCAGAGAUCUACUCAUCUUGCUGCUGGGCGAGAUAAGCCUCCUAAAGCCUUAAGACUCACCAUCUGCUAUCCUGAGUCUCCAGAUUUUGAAUGCAGAUCUUGGGACUUGUCAGCCUGCAUAAUCAUAAAACCUGAUGGAAAACUGUAAUUCUAAUUGAAGGUGAACCUACCUGAUACUGUGUGAAUUGGAAGCAACACCAAGGCUUGAUCUCAGUUUGUCACUUGCCUGCAAUGUUUUCCAUUACUGUGCACUGUUUGAAAAUGCCUUGAUGGCGAUAAUCAUUGGGCUCCUGGAGUGUGAUCAGUGUGGUGAGCAUUCCUGACUUG